rnacentral:rRNA from 1 species
GCUUAACACAUGCAAGUCGAGCGGCAGCGCGAUGUGUAGUAAUACACGCUGGCGGCGAGCGGCGGACGGGUGAGUAACGCGUAGGAAUCUGCCCAGCAGAGUGGGAUAACCAAGGGAAACCUUGGCUAACACCGCAUAGACUCGAGAGAGGAAAGCUGCCGCGAGGUGGCGCUUUUGGAGGAGCCUGCGUCCGAUUAGCUAGUUGGUAGGGUAAGAGCCUACCAAGGCUGUGAUCGGUAACUGGUCUGAGAGGACGACCAGUCACACUGGGACUGAGACACGGCCCAGACUCCUACGGGAGGCAGCAGUGGGGAAUCUUGGACAAUGGGGGCAACCCUGAUCCAGCGAUGCCGCGUGGGUGAAGAAGGCCUUCGGGUUGUAAAGCCCUUUAGGUUGGGAAGAAGGUAUGCGGGGGAUAAUCCUGUGUAUUUGACGGUACCGACGGAAUAAGCACCGGCAAACUCUGUGCCAGCCGCCGCCGUAACAC